GGGAUUGUGCCAGCAGCCGCGGUAAUACGGAGGGAGCUAGCGUUGUUCGGAAUUACUGGGCGUAAAGCGCACGUAGGCGGCCAUUCAAGUCAGAGGUGAAAGCCCGGGGCUCAACCCCGGAACUGCCUUUGAAACUAGAUGGCUUGAAUCUUGGAGAGGCGAGUGGAAUUCCGAGUGUCGAGGUGAAAUUCGUAGAUAUUCGGAAGAACACCAGUGGCGAAGGCGACUCGCUGGACAAGUAUUGACGCUGAGGUGCGAAA
rnacentral:rRNA from 1 species